rnacentral:rRNA from 1 species
AUGACGCCCUCGUGCAAGCUCGUCCUCCUCCUCCUUGCCAUGGCACUGACGGUCUCCAUCGUGCACGGUUGCGGCGGAUACAACUGCCAGACCCCACCGCCGUCACCACCACCUCCGUCAUGCCCGCCGCCCCCACCGCCGCCGUCACCGCCACCACCAUCAACCAGCGGUGGCUCGUGCCCGGAUCUGGGCGUGUGCUUGAGCCUGCUGAGCGUGCCGAUUGUCAGCCUCGGCGUGUCGCCGUAUGAACCGUGCUGCCAGCUGCUGGGCGAGUUGGCCGGCCUGGACGCUGCCGCGUGCCUCUGUGACGUGGUCGUCCUCCACGGGCUGAUCCACGUCGACGUCGUCGCCCUCCUCAACCAGUGCAAGAUUCCAUGCGAAUCAAACUACACCUGCCGGCGCUGA